GGUGAGGUGGCCGAGUGGUUGAAGGCACCGCUUUCGAAAAGCGGCAUAGGAGUAAUCCUAUCGUGAGUUCGAAUCUCACCCUCACCG
rfam:Candidatus Yanofskybacteria bacterium RIFCSPLOWO2_01_FTLL_43_22 rifcsplowo2_01_scaffold_19169, whole genome shotgun sequence.